rnacentral:rRNA from 1 species
AUGAACGCUAGCUACAGGCUUAACACAUGCAAGUCGAGGGGCAGCAUGGUCUUAGCUUGCUAAGGCCGAUGGCGACCGGCGCACGGGUGAGUAACGCGUAUCCAACCUGCCUUACACUCUUGGACAGCCUUCUGAAAGGGAGAUUAAUACAAGAUGUUAUCAUGAGUAAGCAUUUUCGCAUGAUUAAAGGUUUACCGGUGUAAGAUGGGGAUGCGUUCCAUUAGAUAGUAGGCGGGGUAACGGCCCACCUAGUCUUCGAUGGAUAGGGGUUCUGAGAGGAAGGUCCCCCACAUUGGAACUGAGACACGGUCCAAACUCCUACGGGAGGCAGCAGUGAGGAAUAUUGGUCAAUGGACGAGAGUCUGAACCAGCCAAGUAGCGUGAAGGAUGAAGGUUCUAUGGAUUGUAAACUUCUUUUAUACGGGAAUAAACGAAUCCACGUGUGGAUUUUUGCAUGUACCGUAUGAAUAAGGAUCGGCUAACUCCGUGCCAGCAGCCGCGGUAAUACGGAGGAUCCGAGCGUUAUCCGGAUUUAUUGGGUUUAAAGGGAGCGUAGAUGGGUUGUUAAGUCAGUUGUGAAAGUUUGCGGCUCAACCGUAAAAUUGCAAUUGAUACUGGCAGUCUUGAGUACAGUUGAGGUAGGCGGAAUUCGUGGUGUAGCGGUGAAAUGCUUAGAUAUCACGAAGAACUCCGAUUGCGAAGGCAGCUUACUAACCUGUAACUGACAUUGAUGCUCGAAAGUGUGGGUAUCAAACAGGAUUAGAUACCCUGGUAGUCCACACGGUAAACGAUGAAUACUCGCUGUUUGCGAUAUACGGCAAGCGGCCAAGCGAAAGCACUAAGUAUUUCAACUGGAGAGUACGCCGGCAACGGUGAAACUCAAAGGAAUUGACGGGGGCCCGCACAAGCGGUGGAGUAUGUGGUUUAAUUCGAAGCAACGCGAAGAACCUUACCAGGCCUUGACAUCCCUUGCAGAGGUAUAGAGAUAUAUCCGAGGUUAUCAAGGAGACAGGUGGUGCAUGGUUGUCGUCAGCUCGUGUCGUGAGAUGUUGGGUUAAGUCCCGCAACGAGCGCAACCCUUGUGAUAUGUUACUAACAUUGAGUUGAGGACUCAUAUCAGACUGCCGGUGAUAAACCGGAGGAAGGUGGGGAUGACGUCAAAUCAGCACGGCCCUUACGUCCGGGGCUACACACGUGUUACAAUGGGGGGUACAGAGGGCUGCUACCACGCAAGUGGAUGCCAAUCCCAAAAACCUCUCUCAGUUCGGAUUGAAGUCUGCAACCCGACUUCAUGAAGCUGGAUUCGCUAGUAAUCGCGCAUCAGCCACGGCGCGGUGAAUACGUUCCCGGGCCUUGUACACACCGCCCGUCAAGCCAUGGGAGCCGGGGGUACCUGAAGUGCGUAACCGCAAGGAGCGCCCUAGGGUAAAACUGGUGACUGGGGCU